AGGAGAGCGAAGACCACCAGCAGCAGCCUCCCAAGGAAGCUAGCCAAGACCUUGGCCAAACGGCUGGGGAAGGCAGGUGCCGGGCCACUGCACCUCAGCCCCGGAAAAGGGGAUGGAUUUCCUCUGGGCAAGAGGCUCGGCCCUCAUUUAAAAGGAGGCGUGCUGGCCUGAACGGUGCCAAACCUCGGCAAAAGGGACCUGAGCCAGCAAAACAUGGAGUAGAUGACUACACCGUUGAACAAUGUUUAGGCCAAGGGGGUUUUGGCAGCGUUCGUGCUGGCAUGAGGAAGAGAGAUGGGGAACAGGUGGCCAUCAAAUUCGUGAGGAAGACGAAGGUGAC